GGAGGGUACAGCUCAAGUGGUAGAGCACAUGCUUAGCAUGCACGAGGUCCUGGAUUCAACCCCCAGUCCCUCCU
rfam:Camelus ferus unplaced genomic scaffold scaffold168, whole genome shotgun sequence.